rnacentral:rRNA from 1 species
AUUGAACGCUGGCGGCAUGCCUUACACAUGCAAGUCGAACGGCAGCAUGAUCUAGCUUGCUAGAUUGAUGGCGAGUGGCGAACGGGUGAGUAAUACAUCGGAACGUGCCCUGUAGUGGGGGAUAACUAGUCGAAAGAUUAGCUAAUACCGCAUACGACCUGAGGGUGAAAGUGGGGAACCGCAAGGCCUCAUGCUAUAGGAGCGGCCGAUGUCUGAUUAGCUAGUUGGUGAGGUAAAGGCUCACCAAGGCGACGAUCAGUAGCUGGUCUGAGAGGACGAUCAGCCACACUGGGACUGAGACACGGCCCAGACUCCUACGGGAGGCAGCAGUGGGGAAUUUUGGACAAUGGGCGAAAGCCUGAUCCAGCAAUGCCGCGUGUGUGAAGAAGGCCUUCGGGUUGUAAAGCACUUUUGUCCGGAAAGAAAUGGCUCUGGUUAAUACCUGGGGUCGAUGACGGUACCGGAAGAAUAAGGACCGGCUAACUACGUG